rnacentral:rRNA from 1 species
CCUACGGGAGGCAGCAGUGAGGAAUAUUGGUCAAUGGACGCAAGUCUGAACCAGCCAUGCCGCGUGCAGGAAGACGGCUCUAUGAGUUGUAAACUGCUUUUGUACGAGGGUAAAUCCCGAUACGUGUAUCUGGUUGAAAGUAUCGUACGAAUAAGGAUCGGCUAACUCCGUGCCAGCAGCCGCGGUAAUACGGAGGAUUCAAGCGUUAUCCGGAUUUAUUGGGUUUAAAGGGUGCGUAGGCGGUUCGUUAAGUUAGAGGUGAAAUCCCGGGGCUCAACUCCGGCACUGCCUCUGAUACUGUCGGGCUAGAGUUUAGUUGCGGUAGGCGGAAUGUAUGGUGUAGCGGUGAAAUGCAUAGAGAUCAUACAGAACCCCGAUUGCGAAGGCAGCUUACCAAACUACGACUGACGUUGAGGCACGAAAGCGUGGGGAGCAAACAGGAUUAGAUACCCCAGUAGUC